rnacentral:rRNA from 1 species
CGGCGAGUGAGAGGGAAGAGCCCAAGAUUGAAAGCUGGCGUCUUCGGCGUCCGCAUUGUAAUCUCAAGAAGUGUUUUCCGCUUCGGACCAUGCCUAAGUCCCUUGGAAAAGGGCAUCAUAGAGGGUGAUAAUCCCGUACAUGGCAUGGAGCGCCCGAAGCUUUGUGAUACGCUUUCUACGAGUCGAGUUGUUUGGGAAUGCAGCUCAAAAUGGGUGGUAAAUGCCAUCUAAGGCUAAAUAUUGGGGAGAGACCGAUAGCGAACAAGUACAGUGAUGGAAAGAUGAAAAGAACUUUGAAAAGAGAGUUAAACAGUACGUGAAAUUGCCAAAAGGGAAGGGUAGGAGGUCAGAGAUGCGUCUUGGGAUUCAGCCUUGCUUUUGCAUGGUGUUUUUCCCAAGUUGCAGGCCAACGUCGGUUUUGGGCACUGGAGAAGGGUGGGAGGAACGUGGCACCUCUCGGGGUGUGUUAUAGCCUCCUACUGGAUACAGCGACCGAGACCGAGGAACGCAGCGUACUCGUAAGAGCGGGCCUUUUGGCACCUUUACGCUUAGGGCGUUGGCAUAAUGGCCCUCUACCACCCGUCUUGA